rnacentral:rRNA from 1 species
AACGAACGCUGGCGGCAGGCUUAACACAUGCAAGUCGAGCGAAUGGAUUGAGAGCUUGCUCUUAUGAAGUUAGCGGCGGACGGGUGAGUAACACGUGGGUAACCUGCCCAUAAGACUGGGAUAACUCCGGGAAACCGGGGCUAAUACCGGAUAACAUUUUGAACCGCAUGGUUCGAAAUUGAAAGGCGGCUUCGGCUGUCACUUAUGGAUGGACCCGCGUCGCAUUAGCUAGUUGGUGAGGUAACGGCUCACCAAGGCAACGAUGCGUAGCCGACCUGAGAGGGUGAUCGGCCACACUGGGACUGAGACACGGCCCAGACUCCUACGGGAGGCAGCAGUAGGGAAUCUUCCGCAAUGGACGAAAGUCUGACGGAGCAACGCCGCGUGAGUGAUGAAGGCUUUCGGGUCGUAAAACUCUGUUGUUAGGGAAGAACAAGUGCUAGUUGAAUAAGCUGGCACCUUGACGGUACCUAACCAGAAAGCCACGGCUAACUACGUGCCAGCAGCCGCAGUAA